rnacentral:rRNA from 1 species
GUAGCUGGUCUGAGAGGAUGACCAGCCACACUGGAACUGAGACACGGUCCAGACUCCUACGGGAGGCAGCAGUGGGGAAUAUUGGACAAUGGGGGCAACCCUGAUCCAGCAAUGCCGCGUGUGUGAAGAAGGCCUGAGGGUUGUAAAGCACUUUCAGUGGGGAGGAGGGUUGAUAGGUUAAGAGCUAAUUAAYUGGACGUUACCCACAGAAGAAGCACCGGCUAACUCCGUGCCAGCAGCCGCGGUAAUACGGAGGGUGCGAGCGUUAAUCGGAAUUACUGGGCGUAAAGGGUGCGUAGGUGGUUUAUUAAGUUAUCUGUGAAAUCCCUGGGCUUAACCUGGGACGGUCARAUAAUACUGGUUGACUCGAGUAUGG